rnacentral:rRNA from 1 species
CCUAUAGUGGGGGGACGAACCUCGAGAAAUCGAGGCUAAUACCGCAUACGAGCAGUGGGGGAGACUCCACUGGGGAAAGCGGGGGAUUGGGGGCAACCCUGACCUCGCGCUAUUGGCGCGGCCGAUGCCGGAUUAGCUAGUUGGUGGGGUAAGGGCCCACCAAGGCGACGAUCCGUAGCUGGUCUGAGAGGAUGAUCAGCCACACUGGGACUGAGACACGGCCCAG